CAAGUGUUUUGUACAUGGAAAAGCCCAGCAAUUAUCUACAACUCUCAACCAUGAUUGUAUUCAUUUGAAGUACACUUUUAGGUAACUGCAUGUUACAGUGCUGCUCAUAAGCACACAUGUUGCUGCAGGGACAGAGCUGAGCACAAUAUCAAUGACCUACUACUGGAUCAGCUAGUUUUGAUUGGCAAUGAACACAUGUACAGUACUAACUGUAGAUAAUAAAGUCAGAAGGAAAAGAU